rnacentral:sRNA from 1 species
GCCGGGUGCACUGGCACAUGCCUGUAAUCCCAGCAGCUCGGGAGGCUGAGGUGGGAGGAUCAUGAGUUCAACUCAGUGAGAACCUGUCUCUA